rnacentral:rRNA from 1 species
GCUUGCUUGGUGGAUCAGUGGCGAACGGGUGAGUAACACGUGAGCAACCUGCCCUGGACUCUGGGAUAAGCGCUGGAAACGGCGUCUAAUACUGGAUAUGAGCUCUCAUCGCAUGGUGGGGGUUGGAAAGAUUUUUCGGUCUGGGAUGGGCUCGCGGCCUAUCAGCUUGUUGGUGAGGUAAUGGCUCACCAAGGCGUCGACGGGUAGCCGGCCUGAGAGGGUGACCGGCCACACUGGGACUGAGACACGGCCCAGACUCCUACGGGAGGCAGCAGUGGGGAAUAUUGCACAAUGGGCGGAAGCCUGAUGCAGCAACGCCGCGUGAGGGAUGACGGCCUUCGGGUUGUAAACCUCUUUUAGCAGGGAAGAAGCGAGAGUGACGGUACCUGCAGAAAAAGCGCCGGCUAACUACGUGCCAGCAGCCGCGGUAAUACGUAGGGCGCAAGCGUUAUCCGGAAUUAUUGGGCGUAAAGAGCUCGUAGGCGGUUUGUCGCGUCUGCUGUGAAAUCCCGAGGCUCAACCUCGGGCCUGCAGUGGGUACGGGCAGACUAGAGUGCGGUAGGGGAGAUUGGAAUUCCUGGUGUAGCGGUGGAAUGCGCAGAUAUCAGGAGGAACACCGAUGGCGAAGGCAGAUCUCUGGGCCGUAACUGACGCUGAGGAGCGAAAGGGUGGGGAGCAAACAGGCUUAGAUACCCUGGUAGUCCACCCCGUAAACGUUGGGAACUAGUUGUGGGGACCAUUCCACGGUUUCCGUGACGCAGCUAACGCAUUAAGUUCCCCGCCUGGGGAGUACGGCCGCAAGGCUAAAACUCAAAGGAAUUGACGGGGACCCGCACAAGCGGCGGAGCAUGCGGAUUAAUUCGAUGCAACGCGAAGAACCUUACCAAGGCUUGACAUACACCAGAACACCGUAGAAAUACGGGACUCUUUGGACACUGGUGAACAGGUGGUGCAUGGUUGUCGUCAGCUCGUGUCGUGAGAUGUUGGGUUAAGUCCCGCAACGAGCGCAACCCUCGUUCUAUGUUGCCAGCACGUAAUGGUGGGAACUCAUGGGAUACUGCCGGGGUCAACUCGGAGGAAGGUGGGGAUGACGUCAAAUCAUCAUGCCCCUUAUGUCUUGGGCUUCACGCAUGCUACAAUGGCCGGUACAAAGGGCUGCAAUACCGUGAGGUGGAGCGAAUCCCAAAAAGCCGGUCCCAGUUCGGAUUGAGGUCUGCAACUCGACCUCAUGAAGUCGGAGUCGCUAGUAAUCGCAGAUCAGCAACGCUGCGGUGAAUACGUUCCCGGGUCUUGUACACACCGCCCGUCAAGUCAUGAAAGUCGGUAACACCUGAAGCCGGUGG